AUAGUUGACAUACGCAAAAGGAUUGGAUUAAUAGAAGGUACUUCACAAUUACCUCACAACUCUCAGAAGACAAAAGGAAUAUGACAAUGGACUCAUCAUUUUCAGAUGGAGUCUCGCACUGUCACUGCAAUGGCGCGACCUCGGCUCACUGCAACCUCUGCCUCCUGCAUUCAAGCGAUUCUCCCACGUUCAAGCAACUCUCCUGCCUCAGCCUCCCGAGUAGCUGGAAUUAGAGGCACCCGCCAUCAAGCCCAGGCAAUUUUUGUAUUUUUUGUAGAGAAAGGGUUUCACCAUGUUGGUCAGCCUGGUCUUGAACUCCUAACCUCAGGUGAUCCGCCCACCUAUGGCUUCCCAGAGUGCUGGGAUUACUGGUGUGAGCCACCGCGCCUGAUGGCAUUUUUAAAAUAGCAGCUACAGCACACUAAUAGAAGCACCUAUGAGCUCUCUGUGAAAAGUUUAAUUGAUUAUAAAACUCAGCCAGCCAAGAAAUGAAUCAAGAUUUUAAAACUCAUUUGUGGCAACAUGGAUGGAACUGGAGAUUAUUAUAAGUGAAAUAAGCCAGACACAGAAAGACAAAUAUUGCAUGUUCUCACUCAUAUAUGGGAGCUAAAAAAAGUUGAUCUCAUAAAAAAAAGUUGAUCUCAUAAAAAAAGUUGAUCUCAUAUGAUAGAUGCUAGAGGCUGGGAAAAGUGGGUGGGUGGGAAGGGGAAUGAAGAGAGGUGGGUUAAUGGUUACAAACACACCAAUAAAAAGUUUAAGUUCCAUUGUCAACAGUAGAGUAGAGUGACUACAGUUAACAACAAUAUAUUCUGUAUUUCAAAGUAGCUGGAAGAGAGGACUUGAAUUGUUCCCAACACAUAGAAAUGAUAAAUACUCAAAGUGAUAGACAUGUCAAAUAAAUACCCUGACUUGAUCAUUACACAUUCUAUAUAUAUAACAAAAUAUCACAUAUUAUCUUAUUACCCUAUAAAUAUGCAAAAUAUUAUGUAGCAACUUUUAAACUUUUUUUUAAAGAUUGGAAAACUCAGUAUUGGAAAAGACAUAGUUGAAGGGCAAGUAGUAAACAAUGAAUCUAUGUAAAUGUAAAAUGAAGGAUCAAAAGCUGGGGUAGUAAAAAAAUAUAUAAACAAAUACAAUCAGGGAAAAGGGGUAGGACUUAGCAAUGACAGCUGGCAUUUAUUUGGUGUUCAUUACAUUGUCGGUACUGUUGUGUUACAAGAAAAACCUG
rnacentral:lncRNA from 1 species